UUUGCAAAAAAUUAAAAGUAGAAGAUUUCUUCAUCUUAACUUAAAAUCGUUUUCUGGUUAGAAAAUGCCAUCAGCUGAUACUUUAACAUUUUGUUUGGUUACCUUAUCAUAGGUUAAAUAAAAUAUCUGCAUAGAUAAAACACGAAGGCGAAAUCAAACUCAAACAAAUCCACAAAUGAUCAAACUGCUGAUGAAUAUGAUGACUGGAAAGUCAAUUGGGAUGAUGACAAUGAAACUUAUUCGUAAGUAGGGCCUAGUGGUAGGACAAAUACUAGUAAUCACGCAGGACACGCUAACGCACUCACAUUCCGCUAGCAAUUACACAGAAACAUUAAAAAAGUCUGACAUCAAGACGAUACAAGCAUUUUGAUUGGUUACACGAAUAUUGGCUCAUUUCCAUGCCACCGUUGCCAGAUAAGAAAUUUUCUGAACGUUAAGAAGAACAAUUUGUGGAGCAUCGACUGGUUCAAUUGCAAGAAUUUAUAGAUUAUGACAUGUGAUUGUGUGUUCCGUCAUCCGGUACUGUCACAAUGGGAGGGUGGCACCAUUUCUUGACCUGCAAUGCAGUGAUGACAAGAUGUGGAAAUCAAGCCAAUGCAAAGCCGGAAGGGACAAAUAUGUGGGACUGUCUUACUGUUGGGACAUAUCACCGCCUGAAAAGACAUUGUUGCCAUCGCUUGUAAAGGAUGUUUUUUAGAGGCACGGGUGGCUCGGAUGUAGUCCAAUCUAGACGUCC